rnacentral:rRNA from 1 species
AGUAACGGCGAGUGAAGCGGCAACAGCUCAAAUUUGAAAUCUGGCCCCCUCGGGGCCCGAGUUGUAAUUUGUAGAGGGCGCUUUGGCGUUGGCUCCUGCCUAAGUUCCUUGGAACAGGACGUCAUAGAGGGUGAGAACCCCGUACGUGGCAGGCCGCCUUCGCCGUGUAAAGCCCCUUCGACGAGUCGAGUUGUUUGGGAAUGCAGCUCUAAAUGGGAGGUAAAUUCCUUCUAAAGCUAAAUACUGGCCAGAGACCGAUAGCGCACAAGUAGAGUGAUCGAAAGAUGAAAAGCACUUUGGAAAGAGAGUCAAAAAGCACGUGAAAUUGUUGAAAGGGAAGCGCUUGCAGCCAGACUUGCCUGCAGUUGUUCAUCCGGGCUCUCGCCCGGUGCACUCCUCUGCGGGCAGGCCAGCAUCAGUUUGGGCGGCCGGAUAAAGGUCUCGGGAACGUAGCUCUCUCCGGGGAGUGUUAUAGCCCGGGACGUAAUGCGGCCAGCCUGGACUGAGGUCCGCGCAUCUGCUAGGAUGCUGGCGUAAUGGCUGUAAGCGGCCCGUCUUGAAACACGGACCAAGGAGUCUAACAUCUAUGCGAGUGUUUGGGUGUAAAGCCCGGGCGCGUAAUGAAAGUGAACGGAGGUGGGAACCCCCCCGGGGUGCACCAUCGACCGAUCCUGAUGUCUUCGGAUGGAUUUGAGUAAGAGCAUAGCUGUUGGGACCCGAAAGAUGGUGAACUAUGCCUGAAUAGGGUGAAGCCAGAGGAAACUCUGGUGGAGGCUCGCAGCGGUUCUGACGUGCAAAUCGAUCGUCAAAUUUGGGCAUAGGGGCGAAAGACUAAUCGAACUAUCUAGUAGC